rnacentral:rRNA from 1 species
CAGCAGCCGCGGGAAUACAGAGGCCUCAAGCGUUGUUCGGAUUUAUUGGGCGUAAAGGGUGCGUAGGUGGCUUGGUAAGUUGAAGGUGAAAUCUCGGGGCUUAACCCCGAAACUGCCUUCAAUACUGCUAGGCUCGAGGACUGUAGAGGAGAAUGGAAUUCACGGUGUAGCAGUGAAAUGCGUAGAUAUCGUGAGGAAGACCAGUGGCGAAGGCGAUUCUCUGGGCAGUUCCUGACACUGAGGCACGAAGGCCAGGGGAGCAAACGGGAUUAGAUACCCCGGUAGUCCCUGUCUCUUAUAC